AUUGAACGCUGGCGGCAUGCUUUACACAUGCAAGUCGAACGGUAACAGGCCGCAAGGUGCUGACGAGUGGCGAACGGGUGAGUAAUGCAUCGGAACGUGCCCAGUCGUGGGGGAUAACGCAGCGAAAGCUGCGCUAAUACCGCAUACGAUCUAUGGAUGAAAGCGGGGGACCGUAAGGCCUCGCGCGAUUGGAGCGGCCGAUGUCGGAUUAGGUAGUUGGUGGGGUAAAGGCUCACCAAGCCAACGAUCUGUAGCUGGUCGGAGAGGACGACCAGCCACACUGGGACUGAGACACGGCCCAGACUCCUACGGGAGGCAGCAGUGGGGAAUUUUGGACAAUGGGCGCAAGCCUGAUCCAGCAAUGCCGCGUGCAGGAAGAAGGCCUUCGGGUUGUAAACUGCUUUUGUACGGAACGAAACGGCUCUCACUAAUACUGGGGGCUAAUGACGGUACCGUAAGAAUAAGCACCGGCUAACUACGUGCCAGCAGCCGCCGUAACAC
rnacentral:rRNA from 1 species